rnacentral:tRNA from 1 species
GCCAGCGUGACCCGAGAUCUAUCAAAAACGGAUUCAAAAUCCGCCGCUUAAUAGGCGUGUCGGUUCGAGUCCGACCACCGGCACCA